rnacentral:rRNA from 1 species
GACGAACGCUGGCGGCGUGCUUAACACAUGCAAGUCGAACGGAAAGGCCCUGCUUUUGUGGGGUGCUCGAGUAGCGAACGGGUGAGUAACACGUGAGUAACCUGCCCUUGACUUUGGGAUAACUUCAGGAAACUGGGGCUAAUACCGGAUAGGAGCUCCUGCUGCAUGGUGGGGGUUGGAAAGUUUCGGCGGGUGGGGAUGGACUCGCGGCUUAUCAGCUUGUUGGUGGGGUAGUGGCUUACCAAGGCUUUGACGGGUAGCCGGCCUGAGAGGGUGACCGGCCACAUUGGGACGGAGAUACGGCCCAGACUCCUACGGGAGGCAGCAGUGGGGAAUAUUGCACAAUGGGCGGAAGCCUGAUGCAGCAACGCCGCGUGCGGGAUGACGGCCUUCGGGUUGUAAACCGAUUUCGCCUGUGACGAAGCGUGAGUGACGGUAAUGGGUAAAGAAGCACCGGCUAACUACGUG